rnacentral:rRNA from 1 species
GCUGGCGGCGUGCUUAACACAUGCAAGUCGAACGAACCUUCGGGUUAGUGGCGGACGGGUGAGUAACGCGUGAGAAUCUGCCCUCAGGAGGGGGAUAACGGUUGGAAACGACCGCUAAUACCCCAUAUGCCUACUGGUGAAAUGAAUUUCGCCUGAGGAUGAGCUCGCGUCUGAUUAGCUAGUUGGUGUGGUAAUGGCUCACCAAGGCUUCGAUCAGUAGCUGGUCUGAGAGGAUGAUCAGCCACACUGGGACUGAGACACGGCCCAGACUCCUACGGGAGGCAGCAGUGGGGAAUUUUCCGCAAUGGGCGAAAGCCUGACGGAGCAACGCCGCGUGAGGGACGAAGGCCUCUGGGCUGUAAACCUCUUUUCUCAAGGAAGAAGAUAUGACGGUACUUGAGGAAUAAGCCACGGCUAAUUCCGUGCCAGCAGCCGCGGUAAUACGGGAGUGGCAAGCGUUAUCCGGAAUUAUUGGGCGUAAAGCGUCCGCAGGCGGCUUUUCAAGUCUGCUGUUAAAACGUGGAGCUUAACUCCAUCAUGGCAGUGGAAACUGAAAGGCUUGAGUAUGGUAGGGGCAGAGGGAAUUCCCGGUGUAGCGGUGAAAUGCGUAGAUAUCGGGAAGAACACCAGUGGCGAAGGCGCUCUGCUGGGCCAUUACUGACGCUCAUGGACGAAAGCCAGGGGAGCGAAAGGGAUUAGAUACCCCUGUAGUCCUGGCCGUAAACGAUGAACACUAGGUGUCGGGGGAAUCGACCCCUUCGGUGUCGUAGCUAACGCGUUAAGUGUUCCGCCUGGGGAGUACGCACGCAAGUGUGAACUAAUGAUAG